rnacentral:rRNA from 1 species
AGCGAACGCUGGCGGCAGGCCUAACACAUGCAAGUCGAACGGAUCCUUCGGGAUUAGUGGCGGACGGGUGAGUAACACGUGGGAACGUGCCCUUUGGUUCGGAACAACUCAGGGAAACUUGAGCUAAUACCGGAUGUGCCCUUCGGGGGAAAGAUUUAUCGCCAUUGGAGCGGCCCGCGUCUGAUUAGCUAGUUGGUGAGGUAACGGCCCACCAAGGCGACGAUCAGUAGCUGGUCUGAGAGGAUGAUUAGCCACACUGGGACUGAGACACGGCCCAGACUCCUACGGGAGGCAGCAGUGGGGAAUCUUGCGCAAUGGGCGAAAGCCUGACGCAGCCAUGCCGCGUGAAUGAUGAAGGUCUUAGGAUUGUAAAAUUCCUUCAGCGGGGACGAUAAUGACGGUACCCGCAGAAGAAGCUCCGGCUAACUUCGUG